UGCGGGUAGGGUGGCAAAAUAGGCCCUAGUCAAGGACAAGCAGAAAAAUCGGAAAGAAUAGGAGAGAUCCCCAAAUUGGCACUCCUGUGUCUCACUCGCCACAGCCCGGGGGCUCCGGGACGAAGCACCCUGAGUCGCCAGCCCGGGGCGCCAAGGUGCAGAAGCUGCCGCACCCUCCCCUCCGCCCGUUUCCCAGCGCCCGCGUGGGGCAGAGGUGGGGGACCCCGCCGCGCGCAGUGGCGGCAGCCGCCGCGGGCGCUAUCGAGGAAUCGGCCCAAGCGCGCAGCCCUCGCGGGGGCUCGGGGCUGAAACCCCGGCCGGGGCAGAACAGGCGGCAGCAAGCGCCGCUGGACGUGUUACCAUCACCACCACAACCACCAUCACACGUACCCUGCCUCCAGGAAUCUCCGUGAUUCUGGAACCCACUCCUCUGGAGAGCAUGUGACCUAGGAUUUGAUGUAAGUGCUGCAAGAGGACUGAUCCCUCCCCUUCCAAGAUGAUGAGCAGUAAUGACCAUAUAAGCCAACUUUCCUACCACGUAGGAGUCCAUCAAAGAAGAAAAGCAACAGAGAGGAAAGCAGGGCUCAGGUUUGCGUGAGAGGAAGAGGUUCCCGAGUACUUGACUCCCAUAUGCCUGAGGCUGCACUACCCUUGGACUUCUCAGGAGUCCUUCGGAUGUUCUCCCUCAGAUACUCCCAGGUGUUACGUUUAAAUACCCAUCACGUCGAUUCUGCCCUAACCACAUUUCCAUUGCAUCAAUGUGAUCGUUGAUCUUACACAGUCCACGUGACCGGGCAGAGAAACACCCAGAUACCGGAUAAAACAGUGUUGGUGUGUCUGUGAGGGUGUUUCCCGAAGAGAUUAAUAUGGGUAGACCGAGUGAAGAUCACCCUCCUCCUCCCCAUGUGGGUGGGCACUGUCUAAUCUGUUGAGGGUCCGAAUAGAACAAAAAAGCAGAGGAAGGGAGAAUUUGUUCUCUGCCUCAGCUGGAAUGUUCAUCUUCUCCUGCCCUCGGGCAUCACACUCCUCAUUCUCAACUCAGCCUGGGACUUAGAACCAUCAAGUAGCCCAACCCCCUUCCUUGGGCCUUUGGGCUUGGAUUGAAUUAUACCCCUGGCUUUCCUGGUUCUCCAGCUUAUAGACAGCAGAGGGUGAGACUUCUCGGCCUCCAUAAUCAUAUUAGUAUGUGUAUAUAUAUAUAUCUUCUACUGGUAUUGUUUCUCUAGAGAACUCUGGCUAAUACAAUCACCUAUGUCUUUCUGGAAUCUUCAGGCAGGAGCUUCUUGGAUGAUUGUUUCAAGGAAUCUCCCCACCUCCUACUGAUGUCAGUGGAUCAGUUCACAUCUCAUGGGAGUUUCCACCCACAGUUUCCUGUCUUCCUUGGAAUGCAACUUUGUAAUCAGUGCUGUUGUGUCCUGUCUGCACGGGAGUGUCUUUUGUGUCUUGUGCUUCUGGAAGUAGUAAUUUGGUCUCUGUCUCUGAAAGAUCUCUGUCCAGAUCCCCUUUCCCUCAGCAGGGCUAGCCAGCCCAUGACUGCUGCAAGGAUUAGCUGCUACAGGCUUACUGCUGUACCCAUACCUGCACAGUUGCCCUUGACCUGUGGAAGCCACCUUGCCCAGAAAUAUUUGGGAGGUAAUUCUACCCGUGGGGUAGCCUAUAGCCAGUGGCUAGCUGAUACAGGGCAUAAAAGCUCAUCCCCCUUACCUCAAGCUGGAGCAAUUUUGUGAGACUGACUGGUGUUUUCUGACUCCACUCCUGACACCGAAUAUGUGGUUUUUCCUAACACCAACCAAUUCUCCAGCACCUACUGGGUGUCCACAAUUCAAUUCAAUCCUAAUACUAUCUACACCCGGAGUUUGUUACCAUGAGAUCCUACAAGUUAAAGGGCUCAGUCCCACAAGACUGCCCCCACGUCAAAUGCCAGUGGCAAAUGGGGCCCUCAGGUGACCAGCACUUCUGCUUAACUGACUACAAAAUUCGGGGGUCCCCACGAUGCCCCCCACCUGGGUUCAAUUAUUUACCAGAACAAUUCACAGAACUUUGGAAAGUGCUUCACUUACUAUUCAAGCUUAUUAUAGAGGAUACAAAUGAACAGCCAGAUGAAGAGGUACAUAGGGUGAGAUGUGAAAGGCUCCCAAGGGCAGGAGCCUGGUGGGUUAAGGGUAGUCCACCCUUCCUGCAUGUAGAUAUGUUCACCACCCCAUUUCUAAGGGUUUUAGGAGCGCUGUGCCAGGUAUAUAACUUUUUAUUGUAUCACAGGCAGCAAACAUCCUUGUGAGAUCUUGGCUCCAACCUAGAACACACCUGUAGCUUUCAGCCCCUCACAGGUAUUCGUGCAUCUAUCAUGUGAACUUUGGGCAUUCCUUGGGAUUUAAUCUGGAUCUAAUUUAUCUUCGCCUUCCUGUAACAUCUUCGCCAUGCCUUACACACACACAAUUGUCAGAAAUGUUGUGGAAAGACAAAAUAUUUCAUAUUUUGAAAUCACUUACAUGGCUGGGCAGAACUGUGAAAUUACUGGCUUGUUUUCUCUAAUUCCCAUUCUGCACCCGCGCCCCCCCGCCCCCACAAACUGGGCACAUGAACGGCGCAAUUCUCCUCGACGAAGACGAGGGCAAAGGACUUCUAGACGCAGGAGAACAGGCCGGUGUGGAAGGACCCCCAGCCAUUCCGCCCGGUGCCGGAGAGACACAGGGCUGCUCAGUGCCUCAAGUGGUUCCGUUCUUUCUGGCUUCUCUGCCCGAUCAAGUUAAAUAGUCCCUAAGAGUAAAUAAAUGUGGCAAAGAUAAAACAAAUAUUUUUUUCCAAUUGGAUUGGUUCAGUCCUUGUGUGGGUUCAGAUGAGGGAGAACCAGAAUGUUUUGAUUAAAUCA